rnacentral:rRNA from 1 species
UACGAAGGGGGCUAGCGUUGCUCGGAAUCACUGGGCGUAAAGCGCACGUAGGCGGAUCUUUAAGUCAGGGGUGAAAUCCUGGAGCUCAACUCCAGAACUGCCUUUGAUACUGGGGAUCUCGAGUCCGGAAGAGGAGAGUGGAAUUCCUGGUGUAGCGGUGAAAUGCGCAGAUAUCAGGAAGAACACCCGUGGCGAAGGCGGCUCUCUGGUACGUGACUGACGCUGAGACGCGAAAGCGUGGGGAGCGAACAGG